rnacentral:piRNA from 1 species
UGUCAUCUGAGUUUGUCUUG